rnacentral:rRNA from 1 species
UACAGAGGGGGCAAGCGUUAUUCGGAAUUAUUGGGCGUAAAGAGCUUGUAGGCGGUUUGUCGCGUCUGCCGUGAAAAUCCGAGGCUCAACCUCGGACUUGCGGUGGGUACGGGCAGACUAGAGUGUGGUAGGGGAGACUGGAAUUCCCGGUGUAGCGGUGAAAUGCGCAGAUAUCAGGAGGAACACCGAUGGCGAAGGCAGGUCUCUGGGCCACUACUGACGCUGAGAAGCGAAAGCCAGGGGAGCAAACGGG